ACCUUACAAUGAUGACUUCAUAGUUCAUCUGAUUGCUAUGAUGUACAACACUUUAUUGUCUUUCGCUCCUAUCUGAUGUGGAAU